ensembl:snoRNA
AGCGAGACUAGAGUCACAUCUCGAUGUCCUUCGUUGUCCUGGUGUGCUAUAGUCUUCGCAGAGCAAAUGUUCUCUGCUUAUUCAUUGGCUGCUGCAUUCCAUUGCUUAGCCAAUCACCAGCUCAGAAACAUAC